AUUUUAUCAAUAGCUUUCAUCACAAACCCCAGAUGUAGCACCACACAAGCCUCUGAAGAAAAGAAAGUCUAGAGCAAGCCAAAAACAAGAUAGGAAUAAAGUUCAGCCUCCUGCCCUACAGUCAGAUAUCCAUUUUCAAGUCUUUACUGACAGAUGUUUGUCAAGAAACUUAAAAACCUGCAGUGAGGGUGUCUUCACAGCAUCCCUAGGCAAUCCAUCACCUCAUGCAGCCACCUGAAGACAAGCUCAAAGGUACAGAAGUGACAGCACCACCCACUGCAAGUAUUUCAAGGCUGAUCCAAAAUGGAUCACAUCAGGAGAAACAUCCCUUUGAAUCCAUGGAAUUUUUGGAUCACCUUCUCUUUCCUGUUCAUCAUUUUUCCAUUAAAAACAGUGUUAGUACUUUGCUUUUCCUGAAAAUGAUGUUGACCUUCCUUUGUCUUUUCACCUAAAACAUAGCUCUUUUGACCUCAUCCUAGAGGAAGAGCUAUUAAUUUUCCUGAAGGAUAUGUAGCACGUUGUGCGGAUGAGCAUGACUGCAGAGGGGAAGAAGCCCUCAGUUUUAGACAAAGAGUAACAAAUUCCUGCAGUACAAUUUAAAUAAUUAUAGUUCUUCACUUUCGUACCGACUGCCAUGGUGGUCUAGCCCAUUAAAAAACUGACUAUUAUGCUUGCCAACUCUCUUUCACAAAAUAGAACACAAGAAAAAGGAUCUUCUUUAUUUGACUACACAGAAUGGACACACUUAUUUCCAGAUAGAGUUGCUUGCACCCUGCCUUCCUAAGUUGCCUACGUGCUCUUUGAAGUAGGAGUCUUGUAUCUUAUGAACUUACUGUUUCUAAGAAUUUAGGUUUAGGAUUCCACAAAGUGAAGCUUAUGACAAGUUCUGGAACAGGAAGGCUGUGCAAGCUCUUUUCUGCAUCCUUUAACAGCCCCACAGAAAGUCACUGAGACCAUACCCUAAAGCUUCAGCAUCAUCUCCCUUCAUUUGCAUUUUAUCUAAUUUUCUGUCUUCACUCUUGGUACUUAUCACUAUAAUUGCCUUGCAAUGCAUUCUGACAACUGCUGCAAGGGUGGGUGGGGGAAUACGGGCAGGAGAGCAGCUGCCACUACUCCUGAAAUCUCAGAGGCUGACAGUGAAAUAUUGUGCAAAUGGCAGUGGGAACCCUCAGGUCUGCAGUGGAGAACCCCAAACCAAGCAGGUGGUUUUCUAUCAGACAUCCGUUUUCACCCCAGGUUUCUGGCUGUGCUUGUUUGUCAUCCCACAUUAUUUAUAUUCAGGCAGUUUGAUGCACAGUACAGAAUUAAAGUUCAGAUUUGCCUGCUGGAAAAGCUAAGGCUUGUGGUCUGUGACAUCUUCCUGGGGUAAAAAGAGGAAUUAGAUAAAUGAAAAGUGAUGCAAGCCUUUUAAUAGCAUUUAAUUGGUAAUUGGAUAUUUUUAGAGUAAACAACUGUUAAAUAAUAUUGAUGAAAAAUCUGUCAAAAGAUGAAUGCAUUGUCUGGUAAAGAACUGUGUGGGCAAACAUUUCAAUUGCUCUGGUCUAGCCAGACACAGUGCAUGUGAGUAAUUCCUGAGCCUCGUCUUUUAAAUUGAGCUGGGCUGGUUUCCAGACAAGAGCAAAUCUGUCCUCUGGGUUGUAUGGCUAAAGACCUCAGUGCAGAGCUGUGACUGUUGCUCCUUCUGUGAUUUCCCAUUCUUUUAAAACCUGACAUUUCAUGUUACAGCAUUGCUUUUGUUAACAUCGUUUUAAUCCCCUAGAUGCUGCUAGGUUUAAAAAGCAAUAGAAUAACUAAACUACUGUACAAGAGGUUGCAUCAUCAUUACAGGUUAGGAUUCCAGUUCUGUAAAGCUUCAUAUGCAUGGGAUACGUCUCAACAGGACAUACAAGUUCUUCAAAUCUUUGUAGGAUUUAGUUACUGAAAGUUGAACAGAAAUUUUCUUAAUCCGCUGGUAAAACGAAAUAUUUGUGAUAUAUACAUAGAAUGAAGAUUAAAAAAUGGGGGGAACAUUCCAUAACCAUCCCUUUUAAUUCCAAAUUUUGUUACAGACAUUGUCACACCGUGUGCAUAGGCUUAGUUGUAUGCACAAAACAGUCCUGCUAGUUUAAACUCAGCAGGACCACAACCACCACAAACCUAAUGGAAACAAUUCAAUAGACUCGAUAAUGCGUUCUGUAUGUAAAAAGUACAUCCUCAAGCUUAAAAAGAAUGUAAAAUAUGCUACCAAAAACUGAAAAAAAUCAUGAGAAUAUAAAUAAGAUCAGUGUCUUUUUAAAGAGUUUACAUUGAAGCUUAUUAGGGCACCCUUGCUGUAUUGAAACCAAAUGUUUUACCCCUCAAAGUUAUCAGUUGCAAAGGAACCUCACUUGUUACUAUGCAUAUAUAGAGAAGGUCAAAUAUAACUAUUAUUCUUCUAAUGGUGAUUCUUCAAAGGAGCUAUGCCUUUCAAUAUGUCAUUAUCACAAACAACUUUAAAAUAUGAUGUG
ensembl:lncRNA